GUUAGUGGCGGACGGGUGAGUAACACGUGGGCAACCUGCCUGUAAGUUGGGGAUAACUCCGGGAAACCGGGGCUAAUACCGAAUGAUAAAGUGUGGCGCAUGCCACGCUUUUGAAAGAUGGUUUCGGCUAUCGCUUACAGAUGGGCCCGCGGUGCAUUAGCUAGUUGGUAGGGUAAUGGCCUACCAAGGCAACGAUGCAUAGCCGACCUGAGAGGGUG
rnacentral:rRNA from 1 species